GCAGGAUUAGCCAAGUGGUCAAAGGCGAAAGACUUAAAAUCUUUUCUCAAUGAGUUCGCAGGUUCAAAUCCUGCAUCCUGCACCA
rnacentral:tRNA from 1 species